UGUGAAAAAAUUCAUUCAUUUUUACUGUUAAAAACUACCGUAGCUGACAAAACAACUGGACAAUUACAUGUGACAUGCCACAUAUAACUCAUUUUGCAUAUAUGAAUAAUUUUUAACAGUAGAAAUGGAUGAAAUUUUUAACA
rfam:Gossypium arboreum cultivar AKA8401 contig_54_7, whole genome shotgun sequence.